AGCGAACGCUGGCGGCAGGCCUAACACAUGCAAGUCGAACGGGCACCUUCGGGUGUCAGUGGCAGACGGGUGAGUAACACGUGGGAACGUGCCCUUUGGUUCGGGACAACUCCGGGAAACUGGGAGCUAAUACCGGAUAAGCCCUUCGGGGAAGAUUAUCGCCAAGGAUCGGCCCGCGUCUGAUUAGCUAGUUGGUGAGGUAAUGGCUCACCAAGGCGACGAUCAGUAGCUGGUCNGAGA
rnacentral:rRNA from 1 species